AGAAAGUUGUUUUCUCAACUUUCUCAACUGCCCCAGCUCAUCUUAACCCCCUCAGGUCAGCCUAAACCAGCCCAGCCCAGCCUCAACCACCUCAGGUCAGCCUCAACUGCUGUACCUCAGCCUUAACGGUGCCAGCCUAGUCUCAACUGCCUCAGCCCAGAGCAGCAACAGCCCAACGGUCACAGCAUGGUGGCCAUGGAGAGGGUGCCCAGUACUCAGCUUACUGAGGAACCAGCACAGCUCCAAGCAGAUUUCACAGCCAGAUAGUGCUGCAUAGAUUGUGACGAAAGGUAGCCAUGGCAGGAGACUGACACCUGCUCCUCCUGAGGUACUGCCUGAUGGACUAGGAAAAAUGGCCAAAAAUGGCAGGAAAUGUUGGCUGCCUCAAGGGCCCCUAAGCUGCCCUGUCUCCCACAGACAUGGGCCCUGCUGGUGCACCAGCCACAGCACUGCCUGCUAAAAACCCUCUCUCCAGUGUAAACUCCAGCCAUACCCACAGAACACUCUCAGGAAGGGCUUUCAGAGGGACACCCUUUAAAUACGGAAAUCUGGAAAGCCUGCAUGGGUCCCUUGUUUAGAAAGGGGCGAAGCUUCAGUGCUUGCCAUGGGAACCUGGGAGGCCAAAGCGCAAGGGCUGCUGUGGCCCGGCCACGGUGCUGCAAGGCUGUGAUAACCUGCAGCAAAGAGAGAUUGCUGAAAAGAUUUGAACAAGUGUUAUGAAAGAGUGACUGCCAGGCUGGAAAGCAAACUUCGAAAAGCACGAAGACUUUGUCCCAGAAGCUGCCUUGCUUUCCUUGAUGAGGAUCAGCUUCAGGAAGAGCCUUACUCUGGGUGCUGGCAGAACCAGACAUGAAAAGAACAAACUCUACCUAAUGCCAAAUAUUCCAGCUGCAGCUUUGACAGCAGGAAUUGCUCUGCAAGUCUGUCUUUCAGAACUCAACACAGAGUUAAACAAAUGGCAAAGCAGUGGGAAGUCUGACAUGCAGCAAUUCAAAUAUAUUAGACCAACCAACUGAAAAAAUAACCUUGCAUUAUUUGUAGCAGCUCAUUGACCAAGAUAAGUUUUGAUCCAAAUGUUUCUGAGCGUGG